UUCCUGAUGUUUAGUUGGAAUCUCCUUUCUUGUAGCUUGAAUUGGUUCAGGUCCUAGCCUCCAGAGCAGGAGAAAAUAUACUUGUUCCAUCUUCCAUGCAAUAGCCCUUUAGAUAUUUGAAGACGGCUAUCACAUCUCCCCUCAGUCUCCUCUUCUUCAGGCUAAACACACCCAACUCUCUCGACC